CCACUAGAUGACGAACAGAUGGUUUCGUACAUUCUCACUGGGCUUGAGAUCGACUUCAAUCCUCUUGUUGCCGCCAUUGUCUUGAGGGUGGAACCAAUUUCUAUUUCUGAGUUAUAUGCUUAGCUUCUAAGUUUUGAGA